CUCCAUCAUCCAAUUUCAACCAUGACCCUGUGAUUCGUCCACCUAUAUACAUCCAUUAGGAAGCAUGUCCCACAGAGUACACAUGAUUUUUACUACUUAUUAUCUCUCUCACCCACAACACAAGUGCACCCUUCUCCUGCUCUUCUUCUCACUCAUCCAGCAUCUCUCGUAGUAUUCCUUCCAUCCCAAUUUAUAAGUCGUUUUGGCUUCUAGAUAUAUGUUUAUAUCUAAAUACAUAGUGAAUAUUAUGAAUCUAGAAAAGCUAAAAAAAGCCAAAACGACGAGUAAUGAUCUCGUAGAAGCAGCUCAACCUUUACAAGGAACAUUCC
rnacentral:lncRNA from 1 species